CGGUUGCGCGUGACGUGUACAAGCGAGCAGAAGCCUCGCGGGGGAAGUCGGUUUAGGUUUCUUUGACCAGGCCUCGGUCUUUCUCCUCCUUUUUCUCCCGAGGCGGUGGUUUCCCUUCGUCUUGUUCCUCCCGCUUCCUCGCCUUCUGAGCUUCGUCGGUGCGGUUGACUCUUGGGUGCGGCCGCUGCGGAGUAAGAGGGCGAGGCCAGAUGAGCACAUCAGGAUGAGAAGCCGCAGAGGAAGGUGAAGAGAGAGAUGUGCUCGACGAAAAGUUUAGUCAAUUGUGGCUCAAACGUAUGGCUGCCUCCGCUACCAAGAGUGUUCAGACAUGAGGUGAUGAUGCAGCAUAAAAUUGUUUCUUCAUCUUCCUCUUUGCGUCAAUGACACUGGAUCCUCCGUGUACAAUUCUGAGAGUCAUCAAUAUUGUGUGUUAUAUAUGGCUUGUUCAUGCUGAUCCAAUUGGUUCAAUGAUUA